rnacentral:lncRNA from 1 species
UAGGGUGUGUUUGAUUACAUUUAUUUUCCAUGGAAAAUAUCAGUUUUCCACCCAAAUUCCUACUUGAAGUGUUUGAUUGCUAUUUUUUUCCAUGGAAAAUAUUUUCCAACUUUUGAAAAUAUGCCUAAUUUUCCUUGUUUUUAAGGAAAAUAUUUUCCUUGGGUAGAGGUGGUUUUUAUUCUCCACAAAAGAUGGAAAAUAUUUUCUUUUCUAGGUGAUAUUUUCCUUGUCAAUC